GACGAACGCUGGCGGCGUGCCUAAUACAUGCAAGUAGAACGCUGAAGGAAGGAGCUUGCUCUUUCUGGAUGAGUUGCGAACGGGUGAGUAACGCGUAGGUAACCUGCCUGGUAGCGGGGGAUAACUAUUGGAAACGAUAGCUAAUACCGCAUAAAAUUGAUUAUUGCAUGAUAGUCAAUUAAAAGGUGCAACUGCACCACUACCAGAUGGACCUGCGUUGUAUUAGCUAGUUGGUGGGGUAACGGCUCACCAAGGCGACGAUACAUAGCCGACCUGAGAGGGUGAUCGGCCACACUGGGACUGAGACACGGCCCAGACUCCUACGGGAGGCAGCAGUAGGGAAUCUUCGGCAAUGGACGGAAGUCUGACCGAGCAACGCCGCGUGAGUGAAGAAGGUUGUCGGAUCGUAAAGCUCUGUUGUAAGAGAAGAACGAGUGUGAGAGUGGAAAGUUCACACUGUGACGGUAUCUGACCAGAAAGGGACGGCUAACUACGUG
rnacentral:rRNA from 1 species